GGUUAAGCGACUAAGCGUACACGGUGGAUGCCCUGGCAGUCAGAGGCGAUGAAGGACGUGCUAAUCUGCGAUAAGCGUCGGUAAGGUGAUAUGAACCGUUAUAACCGGCGAUUUCCGAAUGGGGAAACCCAGUGUGAUUCGUCACACUAUCAUUAACUGAAUCCAUAGGUUAAUGAGGCGAACCGGGGGAACUGAAACAUCUAAGUACCCCGAGGAAAAGAAAUCAACCGAGAUUCCCCCAGUAGCGGCGAGCGAACGGGGAGCAGCCCAGAGCCUGAAUCAGUGUGUGUGUUAGUGGAAGCGUCUGGAAAGGCGCGCGAUACAGGGUGACAGCCCCGUACACAAAAAUGCACAUGCUGUGAGCUCGAUGAGUAGGGCGGGACACGUGGUAUCCUGUCUGAAUAUGGGGGGACCAUCCUCCAAGGCUAAAUACUCCUGACUGACCGAUAGUGAACCAGUACCGUGAGGGAAAGGCGAAAAGAACCCCGGCGAGGGGAGUGAAAAAGAACCUGAAACCGUGUACGUACAAGCAGUGGGAGCACGCUUAGGCGUGUGACUGCGUACCUUUUGUAUAAUGGGUCAGCGACUUAUAUUCUGUAGCAAGGUUAACCGAAUAGGGGAGCCGAAGGGAAACCGAGUCUUAACUGGGCGUUAAGUUGCAGGGUAUAGACCCGAAACCCGGUGAUCUAGCCAUGGGCAGGUUGAAGGUUGGGUAACACUAACUGGAGGACCGAACCGACUAAUGUUGAAAAAUUAGCGGAUGACUUGUGGCUGGGGGUGAAAGGCCAAUCAAACCGGGAGAUAGCUGGUUCUCCCCGAAAGCUAUUUAGGUAGCGCCUCGUGAAUUCAUCUCCGGGGGUAGAGCACUGUUUCGGCAAGGGGGUCAUCCCGACUUACCAACCCGAUGCAAACUGCGAAUACCGGAGAAUGUUAUCACGGGAGACACACGGCGGGUGCUAACGUCCGUCGUGAAGAGGGAAACAACCCAGACCGCCAGCUAAGGUCCCAAAGUCAUGGUUAAGUGGGAAACGAUGUGGGAAGGCCCAGACAGCCAGGAUGUUGGCUUAGAAGCAGCCAUCAUUUAAAGAAAGCGUAAUAGCUCACUGGUCGAGUCGGCCUGCGCGGAAGAUGUAACGGGGCUAAACCAUGCACCGAAGCUGCGGCAGCGACGCU
rnacentral:rRNA from 1 species